GGUUCAAUGAUAUUUUUAUUCUUAGCGCAAAUACACAGCGAUACAGUAGAUCUACAAUUCUGCUACAACUUCCCAUCAGUGUUCUGGGUAUUCACAGAAAUUUUUUUUAAAAAGUCACCAUUUAAAAAUGAAUCAGUCUGUGUUUCUUAUCAUGUACCAUCAAUAAGACUAAAACUCUAUAAGAGAAAAGGAUAAGUUUAAUUUGCAAAACAUUGAGUAAAACAUUCAGUACUUACUUGGCAUAUGAUCUCACUUGAAAUAUGAUUAAAAUCACAUUCCUAACAAUGUGCAAAUCCAAAAAAAACCUGACUGUAUGGGCAUGGACAUGGAAUUUCUUUGGUUAGUGCUAGUUUGGGAUGGGACUUUUGUAUCCUUUGAAUGCUUGGUUAGAUUAUGACGUGGCAAAUUUAGAAGCUGGGGCAUCACUUUGGGCUCUUUGUAUUUAGGAAUCAUUCGUGAACAGUUUUGCAUGGGGGUGUGGCUUAGUGUGCAACAAAGUGUAGUCAGUUUAACGAUUUCUUUAACUUUGCCUGUCAGUGUUUGUAUGUUUGACCAGUCAGUUCAUGCCUGUAUAUUCUCGGUGUGUCUGCAAAUGUUUCUUCCACAACUGAAAGCCAACGCUCAGAUGGAACAUAAAUAACUUGAAGAGUGCGAUUGUAUCCUAUGAGACAUAGUUCUUUAUUAAGUAUUUCACAUACAGUGCCACUCACAUACAAGCAUUUACUUCACAGUAAUACAAGGUUACAUACAGGGUCCCAAAUCCAUAAACAAUCCGAUUUGUGAUUUAUUGAAUGUUUGUUACCAUGGUGACUCUUAACACACUUAAAAAAAAAAUCUAUCCUCGUCUAUGCUGCCAGGAACAUUUAACAAAUGAACAGUAGCCAGUUAUCAAAAAUGAAAAGGAAAAAAAGUCACGAGAAAAAGAAAUGAAAUUGAAAAUUUGAAUGUUUUUUUUGAGCAUUCAUACUCUGCACAUUUUACACGGGUUAUCUGACGUCCCAGCGGUUCCCUCCUUUAGGUCGAUUAGCUUGGAUAUGGGAGAAUAAUGACAUUUGGUGUCCAGUGACGGACUGACUCUGCAAGCAAACUGUGGUUUGUUUUAUGAUGAGUGGGAUUGAUACUGUAAUGUAAUGGCUUUGUUUCCUAUGGUAAUCCUAACCAAAGGAAACAAACCCAAAACAAAACUGUACGGUCAGAACGUCUAACAGAAUUCAGAUGUCAGGACAAAACCAGAGACAUUUUCAGCUUUUCUUCACAUGCAGUCAACUGCCACAAAGACAAAACAGUGCCAAAGUUACAAGACAUGGUUGUUUUGACAAAAGACUGCAUAUAAAAGAUGGAGGCGGUUUAGGUCUGAAAGUAAAGCCAGUGUAGAAAUGCCUUGAACCUGCAUUCUUUCAUCUUGUAAGUUUAUGGUGUCAAUUAGUAGUUUCAAGCUUUUAAAAAAAAAAAUACAGCAUGUUCACCUUGCAAAUUAUAGUCCAAUUUAGAGUAAAAUAGAUGAAAAGGCUGAGUAAGCUGCACAGCAUGGACACCUUUUCACUGGCUAGGUGUUAUUUUUUUGAUUAUUUAAAAAGAAGUGGGCUCAGUCACUCAUCUCGGGUCACACGAAUAAAAAAUGUGUUUAUUCAGUAAUGUGUCGAAUCGUGUUUUAAAAUGGAAAGAAGAUCACUGGCUAACGAUUUUAUGCCAUCCGUUUGUUUUGCAACCAGGACAUCUGGAGGCAUCAAAUUGGGACUUGAAAAACCACUGGGUGAUGUCACACAUGCUGCUGACAGUUGAAAUGCUCCGUUUGAGGCUUGUACACUGGUCUUCACAUCCAUGUGGGUGACGUUAUGGUGGUUUCAUCUAUGUUUUAUAUAUAUAUUCCAGUCUAUGGUUUACCAGCACUAACAGACUACUUUGACCCUUAACUUGUGACCCUAACGAACACCUUCUUGAGGAGUUUCUAGUCUCAGUUUGAAAAUUUGAAGUAUUAUUUAAAAUGGUAAAUGGUAAAUGGCCUGCAUUUGUAUAGCGCUUUUAUAGUCCCUAAGGACCCCAAAGCGCUUCACACUACAUUCAGUCAUUCACCCAUUCACACACACAUUCACACACUGGCGAUGGCAAGCUAUAUUUAAUACAACAUGGUGUUCACUUUUUGUAAAUACAGUCCUUUGUAAAGAAAAAAAGCCACUAAAGAAAAAUAUGAGGCCGCAGUUUUCCUCGGUUUCUCAGUCAUUUCUGCCCGUGCUCAUCACGUCCAGUUUCAAAAAACAAAGACGAUGACCUGCUUCAAAAGCAGGUGUUCACGAACCAAUGCGCGCCGCCGCCGUGGGCACGCCCGUCUUUUACGUGCAGUUAAAAGUCACCAAAACUUUGUCGAAUAAGUGAGCUACUUGGGAGUCCAUGUGAUGUUUGUUUACACACUCUGGCUUACUUGCAGAGAAACUAAAUACCAACUACAACAAACUUUACUGGUGAGCAAAGGCUACUUUGAGAGUGUAAUCAAGUGUAAUUGCACUCCAGUGACACGGGGCUCUGCAUGUGUAAACUGCUGUAAUGCACACAUUGUUACACAUCCGAUUUUAGACUCACACCACCACCACCACAACUACAGAAAAAGGCAAGGGGGGGGGGGAAAGACAGAACACAAUUUGGUCUUUCUAAAAAGUAGCUGUAUUUUGAUUUGGAUUCUUUUUGGCUGAAGCAAAGCGGUUUCAGAGAAGAGGACAGGGAGGGCGAGUUCCAGGGAGGAGGGAAGGACGGGCGCUCAAGGUUUGGAGAGGGGAGGUGUAAUUGUGGCAGUGGCUGGUAAGGUGCAAUGAACUAAUUUUGGGGGGUGUUUUAUUGUGUACAUGCUUUUUUUCUGUGUGCGAUUAUAAGGGCAGGGACUGCAGAUGAAAUAAGAUAAAUAACCAAUAACUGCAACGAUAAGACUUCUUAUAUUAAAAUAAAUUCAGAGCACUUGUCAUUAUUUCCCCAAACAAGAAUUAGUGAUGCAUGCACGGGGAUUGUUCGCCUUUGAAUUAGAAAAAAACUCAUAUUCAGCCUAUCAGAGGUUACAAUGCUGCAGGUUUCUUCACAUCUUAUUUUAAUAACGCACUUUUUCAUCGCUUUGUUUUCUAAAAGCUCUCGAGAGUCUGAGUUUAUUUGCUAAAGUUAAAAUGAGGAAUGCAGUGAAAGCGUUGUUUGAAGGUACAUUUUAAAAAUAGCAGAUGUUAACACCCAAUCUAUCUGCAGCUUUGCUCCAAAAACACGUCCCUACAGUACAACCUACAGUGCAUCUGUACACAGGCAGGCGAGAAUUGGGCAGGAUUUCAUCAAAAGGGGUCAAGUGAAGAGGGGCUGAAUUGGGCGAUGAGAUCACCAUGGCAACGAGGACCUCCGUGGUGCGGAGCACGAGGGAAUGUGGGAGGGAGUUUCACGCUGAAGUGCCCCCAAAGUGGAAGGAAUCGCUCUCUGCUUAUUUUUUUUUCUCAUUUUUUUUUUACGUGCUUUCAGGAGAUUCUCGUGGCCGCGGUCCAAGCGCCCACAUUAAUGAACUCUUCACACGCUCGCACACGCGCUCACACUCACACCCCAUUACAUCACGGGUAACAACACUUAUAUAACAGGACCUCGCGGACACUGAGGUGAUUACACCGGGCUUACAUCAGUGUCAGCAAGCCAAAAUAAAUACACACAGAAAUCCAUGUUCCUCGCUGACGAUGGCAGCAACGCAAAAAGAAAAUAUGUACACGGAACUAAACUAAAGGAUUGCACAUUUCAAGUGGGGGGUUGGGGGGGUGGUUACGCUUCACUUUCCUCAUCUUGGUUUGUUCUGUAGUCACAGGAUGAAUUCAGCUUUUUUUUUUUUUUUAACUCUUAUUAUUCUUAAGAUUCCUCAAGGUUACAAAAAACAAGGUGGCAAAACAAAAUGAAUCCACCCAUUCUGCAGGCUGCUCGGGUGUUUGAGGACAUGCCGAAACUAAAGGCGAGCAAACCAGAGGACAGGAAAGAUGAGAGGCAUCACAUCGAACAGCCCUGCAACAGAAAGGAAAGCAAACAUUUCAGCACAAUCACAAAUAUGUCAUCUUAAGGCGUGAAUCGAACCAGCGUGUUUGUUGUAGCCAACAAUACCCCCACCCCGAACAGCCUCUUUCAAAUAUUGUCAGCGCUGCGUGACCAAAAGCAUCAGGGGACUCGUGUGGCAAACAUGUCCUCUGAAAAUUCAUAAAAGUGCCCUUAUUUUCUAUUUCACCUGGCUCACAUUUCCGUGGAGUUGAUAAAUAUUCACGCCUGAAUGCCACCUCUGUCCCCAGGGGCUGUUUAGUAGUGAGCUUUUUUCCUCUUCUUCCCCCCACUGUGCUCUAAAUUUGAAAAACUGAGCUUUUUUCCCUCUUUUCUUUUUUUAAUUUGCGAAGAACAAAUGAAGGCGCAGGAACUGAUGGUACUGAGUGGCAGAAAAGGAAAUACAGAAAAACGAAACAGCUCUCAGGUUUCUUCUCAAUAAUUUGUUUGCCUAUGGCAACGGCUUGGUUUUUUUCUUUGAAACAUAAAAUGAUUCCACACAGCUAUGAAAUAACCAUUCAUUUAAACUCUUAAAGGUCCACAUAUACGACACAUGCACAUGGUGAUAUGUAGCAAAAGGUCUCUACAUAAAAACCUGUGUAUUUCUUACCCCGUAAUUCAUCCAAUUCAUUGAUUUGAUUACACUUAAAGUCUUUUUUCCACAGUAAACAUUUAUGAACAGCCACUGUUUUUACUCAGUAAUGGUCAUUUUAUGACAAAAAAAAAAAAAAAAAAAUCAGCAGUGAGCUUUUGUUUUGAAGGGUGAUGUUCAGUGUGUGGGUGUACUUAAAAAGAUCUGUGAUUCUGCAGCGACUGUACAGACUGUAUUUAAUUUUUACCAGGGAUGGGCAUUUCAAGCAUAAUUACAGUCGCUUAUCAUAUCCGAGCAGUCCUCAACUGCCACCUUCUGGUAACAACAGGACAUUACAUACAACCAGGUGACACCCCCCAAAAAAUUAUGAGGAAAAGAAACAGUUAUAUAAACAAUUUGAGAUUUUACAUAAAUAAAAGUGACCUAUUAAGCUCAUUUCCAGUUCCACACUUAUUCCUGGACUGUACUACACCCAGCAUGCAUGUUUGUGCACCACCGUGCUGCCUUUGGAUAACGCAUGGAAUCAUCUAGACUAGCUUUGCAUGAUUAUGCUCAAAAUAAUCCUUAUAUAUCUUAUACUAGGCUGUGGGGGCAGCCUCUUAAAAAAGCCACCUUAAGUAGUCUUUAGACUGAACGUCUGUCUGGCAGAGAUUACUAUUAUUAUGUUAAAUGGUCAGAUAUUCUAAUAAGAUGCUCUGUUUUAUGUACAGGUAAUCUCAUUAUAAAUAACUAAAUAAAUGUAUUUUUUAAGUAGUUAUUUGUAGCUGUUUAUAGUGGAGACAGGAAAAUGGUGCUAAUGCCAAUUUCUUGUGUUGGACUGACAUUCAGUGAGCCAGUUACCCACUUUGCUUAGAUUCUGUCAUCAUAUCAUGGACAUGUCACCUGAAAUCUACUUAACAGAUUUUAUAAUUAAGUUUAAUUUCCACUACUGAGCCAUUUAACGGUAACAAUGAUCAAUUCGGUGGACAACUCAUUUAGAAUUCAUCCAAUGUGCACAAUUUUCAACAGGCUUGCGCUUACCUAUACUCUUUU
ensembl:lncRNA